GUGGGGAAUAUUGGACAAUGGGCGAAAGCCUGAUCCAGCCAUGCCGCGUGUGUGAAGAAGGUCUUCGGAUUGUAAAGCACUUUAAGUUGGGAGGAAGGGCAGUAAGUUAAUACCUUGCUGUUUUGACGUUACCGACAGAAUAAGCACCGGCUAACUUCGUGCCAGCAGCCGCGGUAAUACGAAGGGUGCAAGCGUUAAUCGGAAUUACUGGGCGUAAAGCGCGCGUAGGUGGUUCAGCAAGUUGGAGGUGAAAUCCCCGGGCUCAACCUGGGAAUUGCCUCCAAAACUACUGGGCUAGAGUACGGUAGAGGGUAGUGGAAUUUCCUGUGUAGCGGUGAAAUGCGUAGAUAUAGGAAGGAACACCAGUGGCGAAGGCGACUACCUGGACUGAUACUGACACUGAGGUGCGAAAGCGUGGGGAGCAAACAGGAUUAGAUACCCUUGUAGUCC
rnacentral:rRNA from 1 species